rnacentral:tRNA from 2 species
GGGUUGUGUCGCCUACCGGAGUAGGCAACUGUCUGUAAAACAGUGGCUUUGAUGCAAUGCAGGUUCGACUCCUGCCCAACCCA